rnacentral:rRNA from 1 species
AGUGAACGCUGGCGGCAGGCCUAACACAUGCAAGUCGAGCGGCAGCGGGUCCCCGCGAGGGGAUGCCGGCGAGCGGCGGACGGGUGAGGAACACAUCGGAAUCUGCCUGGUUGUGGGGGAUAACGUAGGGAAACUUACGCUAAUACCGCAUGCGACCCUGAGUCGACGGACUGGGGGUGAAAGUGAGGGACCUUCGGGCCUCACGCGACCAGAUGAGCCGAUGUCGGAUAGCUAGUUGGCGGGGUAACGGCCCGCCAAGGCGACGAUCCGUAGCUGGUCUGAGAGGAUGAUCAGCCACACUGGGACUGAGACACGGCCCAGACUCCUACGGGAGGCAGCAGUGGGGAAUCUUGCGCAAUGGGCGAAAGCCUGACGCAGCGACG